CUACAUUUCCUUUCCAUGCAGUCACUUCCUAAGCUGAAGAGAGGCUCCUAGCUGACUGAAGGAGAGGCGCGGCAAAGGCCAGGGUCACAGGUGUGAGCCCCACAGUGUCACGAUGCCCCGGGGACACCUGAAGAAGGGGAAGGAAAAUCCAGGUGGUCGCCCUGAGGCAGACAGAUGCAAGGGGCUGCCAGCACCCUCCCCUGCACCAUCCCAGCACCCCGGGGUCCAAAAGCUUCCGAAUUUCUUUCCUGGGAUACAACAGCAGUCCUGCACUAUGCUCAGCUCCACAAGAGAGGGCAGUGUAGGAGGCUGGAGUCUCUGCGGCCGCAGCUGUGGUCCUCUGCUUCUGCUGUUUCAAAGCAGAUACGAAGAACCUCAGCAGAAUCCCUAGAACUCCAAGGAAAUUAAGGAAACACAGAAGAAGGAAGACGGAGAAUCAGGUAGAACGCUGACAGCCCCUCCCCUCAUUUAGGCUUUGAGGAAACAGCUCGGAGGCCUGCUGAGUCCCCCAGCUCUGGGAGGACUGCGACGAGCCCUGUGAGGCCAGAGGAGUGAGCGGCCGGCCCACAGCGCCCGUGAGGACGUGGAGAUGCUGACAGCUGCCGUCAGUAUCACAGCUGAGAGGAGGCGUGCCCUGGAAACACAUGACAACAUACAUACACGCAGAAGGAGCAGCUGGUGUCUGGGCAGAGGACAAAUGGCUUUCUUUACACCUCAUUCUUCCUCGAGAGGGAGCGGUGUGAAGCGCCUUCUCACUGGAAGGACAUGCUCUACUAUAAAACAUCAAUAUUCACUUCCUGGGAGUGCCAGGACUAAGAAUGAUCUUUUCCUACCUUUUUGGCUUUUUCCAAUUUUUCUAAAACGAGCAUGUGAAUUAACUAUGGGUGCAUAUAUUACAUUUACGACUGGACCGUUAAUCUCAGAGAAAUUCAUAAAAUGUGCGGAAGUUGUUAAAGGCCCAGGAGGAAACCCAGUCCUCCGGCGACGCGGGGACUGAGGCCCAGAGCGGCGCCGUCCCCCUGGCCGUCCCCCCGGCUUUCGUGAGUCUGCCCAGCGAAGCGCUCAGGGAGAGCGGCCUCUGCUCAGGAGGUGCGUCCUAGCUUCUGCUUCCUGGCACGGACGCUGAUUUUAUCAGUUUUGAUUAUGUAGAAAAUUGAGUGUGAUCUACUCACAAUGUUCUCCAAAGGCUACAGAGAGAUGCAAGCAAGGGAGAGAAGCAGGCUCGUCGAAGCAGGGCUGGGCGGGGCAGGAGAAGGGCGUCUGUGUCUCCCCUGCAGGGGCUCCCCGUUUAGUAAAACGAGGAAACUGAGUGCCAUAUCGUGAUUGAUAAGAAAUAUAUAUUUGGUCAUUCCGAUGAUCAAAAUACAUUUCUCAUAUUUAUUUGGUCUUCAUCCACAGUUCCUGGCUUACAGCUCCCAAAACCCUCGGAAUUUCCUAAGUGUUGAGCAUGGUAGAGGUGCCUUUUGUUACGUUAAUGAGGUACUUCUGGACCCCCGUAAGGAAGGGGGCUGGUUGCCAGGAGGACCAACUACCUCGUCAUUGUUGUGUUGAACUCCCACCUCCACCUCUGGGGAGGGGAGAGGAGCUGGAGAUGGAAUCAAUUGCCAAUGGCUAGUGCUUUAAUCAGCCAUGCCUAUGUAAUGAAGCCUCCACAAAAAAACAAAGGGCCUGGGUUCGGAGAGCUUCCGGUUGGUGACCACGUGGAGAUGUGGGGAGAGGGGCACUUGGGAGACGGCGUGGAAGCUCUGCGCCCUUUCCCAACACCUUACCCUCUGCGUCUCUUCCAUCUGGCUGUUCCAGGGUUGUAUCCUUUUAUAAUAAACCAGUGAUCUAGUAAGUAAAGUGUUUUCCUGAGUUCUGUGAGCCCCUCUAGCAAAUUAAUCGAACCUGAGGAGGGGGUCUUGGGAUCUACAGCCGCUUAGUCAGAAGGACAGGUGAUAAUCUGGGCUUGCAAUUGG
ensembl:lncRNA